GGGAGUGGAUAUGGCCUGGUGGCCAUGCCGGUCUUCAAAACCGCGAUGGAGACGCCUCCGGCGGCUCCGGUGAGUUCGAUCCUCACACGCUCCCGCCA
rnacentral:tRNA from 1 species